UGCUGAUUUUAUUGAAGAUAAUGUGCGCCAAAUAUUUAGAUAUCAAGCCAUCAAAUGCGAGCAACAAAGAGGACGCUUUGACUGUGGUGUGUUCGUCUACCUCUUUGUAAAAUCCAUAAUUGAAGGACGAUCAACAUUGCUGGUUAAUCCUCCGAACGAUAUCCCUGAAGCUAUGCGAGCAAGACUUGCCGCACAAUUAUUACUGGCUGGUUUUGAACAAAGACAUAAAGAAGAAACAGUGUACAGUGAUGAAUGAUAUGUUCAUACAAAUACAAUAAUGUAUGUAUAUUUAAGUAAUUGAAAAUGAUUGUUAUCAGAUGUAUUGUUCUAUCUGUACCAUGUUCGUUCUA